UACAGAGGUCCCAAGCGUUGUUCGGAUUCACUGGGCGUAAAGGGUGCGUAGGCGGUCGGGUAAGUCUGAUGUGAAAUCUCACAGCUUAACUGUGAAACUGCAUUGGAUACUAUCCGGCUAGAGGAAUGGAGGGGAGACUGGAAUACUUGGUGUAGCAGUGAAAUGCGUAGAUAUCAAGUGGAACACCAGUGGCGAAGGCGAGUCUCUGGCUAAAUGCUGACGCUGAGGCACGAAAGCUGGGGGAGCAAACGGG
rnacentral:rRNA from 1 species